UACGAAGGGGGCUAGCGUUGCUCGGAUUGACUGGGCGUAAAGGGCGCGUAGGCGGUUCGUACAGUCAGACGUGAAAUUCCUGGGCUCAACCUGGGGGCUGCGUUUGAUACGUGCGGGCUUGAGUGCGGAAGAGGGUCGUGGAAUUCCCAGUGUAGAGGUGAAAUUCGUAGAUAUUGGGAAGAACACCGGUGGCGAAGGCGGCGCUCUGGACCGAGACUGACGCUGAGGCGCGAAAGCGUGGGGAGCAAACAGG
rnacentral:rRNA from 1 species